GAGUUUGAUCAUGGCUCAGGAUGAACGCUAGCGACAGGCUUAACACAUGCAAGUCGAGGGGCAGCACGAAGCAGCAAUGUUUUGGUGGCGACCGGCGCACGGGUGAGUAACGCGUAUGCAACCUACCUAUCAGACAGGGAUAACCCGGCGAAAGUCGGACUAAUACCUGAUAAAACAGGGAUCCCGCCUGGGAUUAUUUGUUAAAGGAUUAAUUGCUGAUAGAUGGGCAUGCGUUCCAUUAGGUAGUUGGUCGGGGUAACGGCCCACCAAGCCUACGAUGGAUAGGGGUUCUGAGAGGAAGGUCCCCCACACUGGAACUGAGACACGGUCCAGACUCCUACGGGAGGCAGCAGUGAGGAAUAUUGGUCAAUGGGCGAGAGCCUGAACCAGCCAAGUCGCGUGAAGGAAGAAGGAUCUAUGGUUCGUAAACUUCUUUUAUAAGGGAAUAAAGACCGGGACGUGUCCUGGGUUGUAUGUACCUUAUGAAUAAGCAUCGGCUAACUCCGUGCCAGCAGCCGCGGUAAUACGGAGGAUGCGAGCGUUAUCCGGAUUUAUUGGGUUUAAAGGGUGCGUAGGUGGGACGAUAAGUCCGCGGUGAAAGUUUGUCGCUCAACGAUAAAAUUGCCGUUGAAACUGUUGUUCUUGAGUAUGUUUGAGGUAGGCGGAAUGCGUGGUGUAGCGGUGAAAUGCAUAGAUAUCACGCAGAACUCCGAUUGCGAAGGCAGCUUACUAAACCAUAACUGACACUGAAGCACGAGAGCGUGGGGAUCAAACAGGAUUAGAUACCCUGGUAGUCCACGCAGUAAACGAUGAUUACUAGGAGUUUGCGAUACACCGUAAGCUCUACAGCGAAAGCGUUAAGUAAUCCACCUGGGGAGUACGCCGGCACGGUGAAACUCAAAGGAAUUGACGGGGGCCCGCACAAGCGGAGGAACAUGUGGUUUAAUUCGAUGAUACGCGAGG
rnacentral:rRNA from 1 species